UUUUUAAUGUAUGGAUGUAUGGAUGUAUUUUAGAGAGAGAGAGCACAUGAGCAGGAGAGAGGCAGAGAGAGAGAGAGAGAGAGAGAGACUCAAGCAGACUCCCCACUGAGCACAGAGCCUGAUGCAGGGCUUGAUCCCAGGACCAUGAGAUCAUGAUCUGAGCCAAAAUCAAGAGUCAGUGCUUAACUGACUGAGCCACCCAGGCGCCCCACUCCCAGGUCGCCCUAAUGUGUAUCCACAGUACCUCUGAUUUACAGUUGAGGUCUAGAGAAAAUUAUCCAAGGAGAUACUGUGGGCUAGACUGAGCCAGAGUCCAGGCUGGAACUGCUGAAAAUAUAUCACAUAGGUUAUUGACAAGGUUAUUAAUUAUACAGCUACCUUGCAAAUACAGUUUGCAAACUUCUAAUUGUAGAUGGUUCACUCCUGCUUACUAACAAUCUACAUUAAUAUUUACACUUUUCACUUUCCAACUUCUAAGGAUGGCUCAGAUACUUCAUGCUUCUGUGAUAUAAUCUUCUUACAGGGUUUAUUGGUAAUAGGUUUCAGUUUGGGGGCUUUACUAACAUCUGCAGGCGGAACUAGCUAAUGCCACUUUUAACUGUUUUUUGUUUGCGUCCUAUUGUUGGUGCAUUUGUUUCUCAGCAUUAAAAAAACCUCUCUCUUUGUUCUUUGCAUUUUCCCUAGCUCUGGUAUUUUCUUGCAAUCCACAUAAAAAUUAUGUCUUUCAGGGGGCACCUGGGUGGCUCAGCCAAUUGACUGACCAACUCUUGAUUUAGGCUCAGGUCAUACUCUCAGGGUCCUGAGAUCAAGCCCUGCAUCUGGCUCUCAGUUCAGUGAGGAGUCUGCUUGAGAUGCUCUCUCUCCUUCUGCCCCUCCCCCUCCUCUCUCUCUCUCUCUCUUUCUAAAAAAUAAAAAAUAAAUCUUAAAAAAAUAUGUCUUUUAUAAUCAAAGGCCGUGGUGAUAAUCCCUUUGUGAUGUGUGAUGUGAAAGAGAUUAACAAAAAACUACAUAUUUACUGAGAACAAUGAAGGUAUAAAGGGGAAAUUGCCUUAAGUCACAGAAAUAAAAAUGAUUUAGAGAAAAAGAUGAGAUAAAGGAGAGAAACAGAAAAAUGAGCUCAAGGAAAGGAAACAGAGGAAGAAGAAAAUAAUGGAAAUGCAAGACUGAACUUCUGGUCUACCUUCUGGCUCACCUCCUAACUACAGAGGUCCCCAAACACGGACUCUUACUUUGAGGAAUGCCAGAGUGACACAGGGUAAGCUGCUUGGUCAUCUGCACAAGUUGCAGUAUGAUGGGAGUCCUCUAUCCCUCUUCCUUAUUCCCUAUAAAAUCCAAAUCUCUCUGAUUACCCGUGCCCCAUUCUGACUGUCCGAUUCCAACCACAUUCAAGACAACCCAAGGUACUUUAGGAUUUGUUUGACUUCUUGGAGAUAAUGACUCUCAAUAGGAUUGGCCUGGUACAAGAGUGAACCUUUGAAAAUUACCUGAGUUCUCUGGUCAUACUCCAGUUUGAAACACAUGAACUCUGGGGCUAAAUUCUACGGCAGGAGCACUUCAAAGCCAUUAUGGAAUCUCAAGGUUAAAAUGAAUAGGGCCUGCCCUAACAUUUAUAAGACUGGACAAGAGCACAAAUGGAGCCCCCCACACCAUACACUAAAUAUUUAAAUGAUAUAAAUCAAGGUAACAACUAAUUAAAAUAUAUCCUAUCUUCUGCUUUAACAAAUAUAUCUUAAUAAAAAAACCUAGAAGGCAGGUUCAAAUAUGGAAUUCUUGGACUUCUUUGAGUCCUAUGUAGGAAGGAAGGCAAUAGAAUGAAAGCCCCCCACCCGGUCUUUCCUUCUUUCCCCACGGCAGGUUUCAUGUUGCACUAUGGUCAAACUUAGGUGUAAUACCCAUGAUGACACAGUCCAUCUUUAGUCUGUCCAGGACCUGGAAACAGGCUUAGGGUGCCAAGAAAUUCUAAAGUAUUCAAUGAGUGUUAUAGAACAGUAGUUCUCAACUGGGGGCAAUUUUGCCCCUCAGGGAACAUUUUGCAAUUUCUGGAGGUAUUUUGUUUGUCAUAGCUUGAAGAGGGAAGUGUUACGAGCAUCUAGUGGGUAGAGGCCAGGGAUGCUGUCCUACAAGGUACAGGACAGCCACCAUCAC
rnacentral:lncRNA from 1 species